CGAACGGGUGAGUAAUGCGUGACCAACCUGCCCCAUGCUCCAGAAUAGCUCUUGGAAACGGGUGGUAAUGCUGGAUGCUCCAACUUGACGCAUGUCUUGUUGGGAAAGUGUUUAGUGGCAUGGGAUGGGGUCGCGUCCUAUCAGCUUGUAGGCGGGGUAAUGGCCCACCUAGGCUUCGACGGGUAGCCGGCCUGAGAGGGCGGACGGCCACAUUGGGACCGAGAUACGGCCCAGACUCCUACGGGAGGCAGCAGCG
rnacentral:rRNA from 1 species